rnacentral:tRNA from 1 species
GCAGUGUUGGCUGAGUGGUAGAGUUUUCACCUUCCAUGUGAAAGACCCAGGUUUGAUCCCUGGCCAAUGCA